rnacentral:lncRNA from 1 species
GGUCUUUGUCAGCGUUGGUCAUCAUAUCGGACUGAGCGUGUGUGGUUGCGAGAGAGAAAGAUCCGUACCCCCCCUUCCUUCUAGCGCCAAAUUGUGGGAACCGAAAUUCACACCGUCGAGUUUUGUUAAUCGGAGGAAAGCCAAGUUAACCUAGCCUUCCCUGAAGGUCCCAGUUAUCUGCUGGGCCACACACAACACAAUCAAUAUGAAAGAUUCGAAAGCAAUAAAUCGUAAAAGAGCGAAAAGAGAACAAAGAGGUCUUAUUUCCGAA